AAAGAAUUAGUUAAUAUUUAUAACAUAAAUUUGUCAAAUUUAAAUAAUUAAAUUAUAAUAUUCUUUU
rnacentral:tRNA from 1 species